GUAAAAAUUUAUUAAUUUAGUAAUAAAAAAUUUCUAACCCUAGUUCAUAGCCGAUCGUCUCCGGAAUCUCUGCCUCUGCCGGUCUCUCCAGCCUCUCCGUCGUCUUCGACCUUCCGGUCUCCGCUUCUCCACUCAUCUCUCGGCUCUCAUAGUCACCGCCUCACGCCCUCCGCCCUCCGCCCGGUAAUAUAGUUGAAAGGAGCACAGUACUGGAAGAGCCAAAUAGGAUUACCUUUAACUUGACACCGAAGAUCAUUCUUCAGGGGAUGCAACAAGAUUCUUAGAUAAACAAAUUGAACAUUGAUUUGCAGGGGUGAGUAUGGCUUUUGGACAGCAUUCUUGGCACUGCUUAUUCGCAUUUUCUUCUUCUUUUCUGCUGCCGCUACUCAUUCGCCAUAGUGAGGAACCAAUUUUGAUAAAAUAAUCGCAAUGUUGAACCAAGAAGAAUUGCUCUCACUCUCACUUUGUUUGGAAAACGGGUUUAACUAAUGCAGAAUGAUCUAGUAAUCAAUGAAAUCUCAGAAGAUGAUGCUAAUGAUUUCAGUGAUCAGAUUCGGUAUGCUGAGGCUGAAGGUUGCGAAACAUAAUGUUAUAUGAGCUAUUCAGAGGAAAGCAAAAAUGAAGAAAUUAGCUCUGGCGGUACAUGGUAGCAUUUCAAUCAAUACAUACCACUAGUGUCAUGCUCUCCAAGCUCUUGAGUUGUUUGGUCAUCGAAGAUUCAAAAUACCACAAGGAAAAGUCAUGACUAUCAAUUCUCAUUGAGAGUGAAAAUGAUAUUCUAUCGUCUAGUGAUGAUGUAAAUAGGCAAUUUCCUUUUGCAUGAAACCUUCAUAUUGAAUAAACUACUAUGUUGCUUUAUUUUUCAUGUAAAAAUACUUUUCAAUUCUGUAUGCAGUUCAAUUAAUAUGUAGAUGGUUGUACAUGGAUAUUUUUUGAUAUUAUUUGGCAAAUAAUAUUUGUUACAAUUGAUUUUCUUUUCA